rnacentral:rRNA from 1 species
AUCUGUAGCGGGUCUGAGAGGAUGAUCCGCCACACUGGGACUGAGACACGGCCCAGACUCCUACGGGAGGCAGCAGUGGGGAAUAUUGGACAAUGGGGGGAACCCUGAUCCAGCCAUGCCGCGUGUGUGAAGAAGGCCUUUUGGUUGUAAAGCACUUUAAGCGAGGAGGAGGCUACCUAGAUUAAUACUUUAGGAUAGUGGACGUUACUCGCAGAAUAAGCACCGGCUAACUCUGUGCCAGCAGCCGCGGUAAUACAGAGGGUGCGAGCGUUAAUCGGAUUUACUGGGCGUAAAGCGUGCGUAGGCGGCCAAUUAAGUCAAAUGUGAAAUCCCCGAGCUUAACUUGGGAAUUGCAUUCGAUACUGGUUGGCUAGAGUAUGGGAGAGGAUGGUAGAAUUCCAGGUGUAGCGGUGAAAUGCGUAGAGAUCUGGAGGAAUACCGAUGGCGAAGGCAGCCAUCUGGCCUAAUACUGACGCUGAGGUACGAAAGCAUGGGGAGCAAACAGGAUUAGAUACCCUGGUAGUCCAUGCCGUAAACGAUGUCUACUAGCCGUUGGGGCCCUUGAGGCUUUAGUGGCGCAGCU